rnacentral:rRNA from 1 species
GACGAACGCUGGCGGCGUGCCUAAUACAUGCAAGUCGAACGAGAGCAACCGGUGCUUGCACUGGUCAAUCUAGUGGCGAACGGGUGAGUAACACGUGGGUAACCUGCCCAUCAGAGGGGGAUAACAUCCGGAAACGGAUGCUAAAACCGCAUAGGUCUUCGAACCGCAUGGUUUGAAGAGGAAAAGAGGCGCAAGCUUCUGCUGAUGGAUGGACCCGCGGUGCAUUAGCUAGUUGGUGAGGUAACGGCUCACCAAGGCCGUGAUGCAUAGCCGACCUGAGAGGGUGUUCGGCCACAUUGGGACUGAGACACGGCCCAAACUCCUACGGGAGGCAGCAGUAGGGAAUCUUCCGCAAUGGACGCAAGUCUGACGGAGCAACGCCGCGUGAGUGAAGAAGGUUUUCGGAUCGUAAAACUCUGUUGUUAGAGAAGAACAAGUGCUAGAGUAACUGUUAGCGCCUUGACGGUAUCUAACCAGAAAGCCACGGCUAACUACGUG